ensembl:lncRNA
CGGCUGAUUCCCCGUCACCGACCCCGUCUGUCCCUGUUCUUCCCGCUCUGCCAGAUUCCUGGUAAACCUACUCGCCUUCUGAUUCUGUCUCCGGUAAACUCUGCCAGCUGAAGGUUUGAUAAUAAAAGCCAAAGAUCCCAGAACUCCCGUGUAUUGCUUUUGGGUCCAUAUACUCUCGGUUACAAUAUUUGAGACACUCCAUGGUUACAUUAAUGUGUUGAGCAGAUUAGUAUGCAUGUUCUCACAUAAGUCCCAUGCAGUUCUCCAAUAAUUACGCCCAUUUUUCCCAAUGAGCAUGUGCAGCAUCCUCUCAUUCCCGCUGACACAGAACAAACUUAUGAGCCUAAUUGAUGAAACAUGGGCUCUUUGCUCAACAUUCUCCUUUGGUUUUUGCCAUACGAGACCAGUGAUUUUAUAGGAAUUUCCCAAUAGCGAUGAUUCAUAUGCGACAAUUAGAGAAAGUUGUGCCAUAGACUAAAACUUUUCCAGUUUUGAGAAAAAACUAAAUGCAUUGGUUUCUUCUGCAAGACUGUUCUUUUGAAGAAGAGUUAAAUAGUGAUUGUGGUCUGCACUGUGUUUGAUGACUCCUAAGGAAAAGACUUCUAUGUGGUCUAGAAAGGAUGUGUCUUGGUCGACUGCUUUCCAAGUGAUGAACUUGGCAAAGGUGGACGACAAGCGUGGGAGCUCUGCUUUGUCCUUGGUGGUUUUAUGUCCCAUGUGGACCGAAAGACAAGAGGAGGUUUUUACAUCUCUGGUCUCUCCCUCUGUCUCCCUUGGCUCUCUUUGCCGUGGCAUCCCACGUAUGCUACUCAGCUAUUGCCCAUCCAUGGUCGGACUGGAUGCUGAGUAUACAGUUUGCAAAUGUCCCUGGGGCCAGUGAAGGUUUCCAAGUUAAAAGGCUUAAACAAAAGGACAAAGAGAUCUGAGGGAAAGUUGCUUAUCACUUUUGUCUCUCAAAAUGGCUUGUCUCUAAUUUUGUGGUAAGAGAAUGGACAACACAAUCUGGCAUUUAAAAAUGAUUUUGAGAACUAAAGAAAAAGUACUGUAG